UGUAGGUGGCCUGGUCUACUCAGCUCCGUUUUGACUGCUCCACCUCCAACUGGCACUGCUGCUGCUGCUGCUGCGGCAGCUGCUGCAUCUGCAACCUGCAACACUCACACCACGGCAACAGAAGUAGACGCGUCGCGUUCAGUCCUCGUCCUGCAGCGUAACGUCAUGUCGCGUAGUGUUCGGCCGAAUGAAAAAAACCAAAACCAGACUGUAAGGUGACUGAACCGAUCCUGAACCCAUCAUCAUCCUCUUCCCCACUCAAGUGCCGUGGAUGUGUGUCAAUUAAAAAGUCUCGUCUCAGUGAGUCGCGUGUUUAAUUUGCGGCACGUUUCCCACACACACACACACUCACUGUCAAUUUAAUUAAAACGCCACAGACAAAUCCACAAAUAUCGCCCAACUAUCCAACCAGCCAACAAUCGAAACCAACUCAAUAUUAAACACAAUAUUGCGGCCAAAACCGAGCUGAAACGACCAGAUCAAUUGCCAGCCAGAGAGCGAAAGAGAUGGAGGGAUUGAUAAGGAAAGAGAUAGAAGAAGGCCAAAACCUAGCCCCAAAAAUCGAUAAAAUGAAUCGUUUAAACAUUGCGGUCAAAUGAAUCUAUAUGGAAUUUUCAAUGUUCGGCUGGUAAGUUGACAAUAAACAACCACAAAAUAUCAAAUGCAGAGAAAGGCUUUUUGUGCUGCUUAACCCG